UUCCCAACCCAGGGAUUGAACCCAGGUCUCCCGCAUUGCAGGCAGAUUCUUUACCAGCUGAGCCACCAGGGA
rnacentral:tRNA from 1 species